rnacentral:misc_RNA from 1 species
AUUUUAUUGAAAAUCAAACUUUUGAAAAUGAACAGGUCCAAUUUAUUAUUCAAAAAGUAAUGUAUUUGUCUUUUUAUUAUGUUAUGAUAUAGUUAGCUUUUCAGGAUUAUCAAUAAUUAUUCAUUCCCGUAACCAGUAGCCUAACUUUUUGUAAAACCAACAAACAUUGAUACUGGAAGAUAUGCCGUAGCCCUGUAUAUGGCAUAUUCUUAUAAUGCAUUUUAAAUUGCAUGUAAAUAUUCUCAUAAUGCAUUUGACAUUAAAAAUCUAUUUAGUGUUAGAAUUUUUUACUAAAUGGUGUCUGUAAAAAUUAUUGUUAUCUAUCUAGAUCUUUAUAGACUCACAAGUUUUUAAUGCACUUCAAUUGUGCAUACUUGUCUACAUAUAGACACUCUUUACAAAUAUUACUAUAUCAUAAUAUAAUAUGCUUUUAUUACCGUUAUAAUAACAGUGGAGAGAGAGAUAGAAGAACACAGUUUCCGUUUCUCUGUCUACUGUCUUCUAUAAAGGAUAUCUGAUGUAAUAUUAACUUUUCAUUCUUGUUUGAAAUAACUAAUUAUGUUUUAUUCCUCAGGAAAAAAAAUAAUGAUUGCAGGAGGUUUGUGGCAUAAGGUUCUAAUCCAUCCUGAAUGGAGCAAGUCCCUAUGUUGUGGCCAUUCUUGAAUUGUAGCGCUGUUCCGUGCGGUGCUGCCUCCUGGCGGUGGAUUGUCGAAAGCUGUCGUCAGCCUAGGUUUUUUCCUCUCAGUCGGGAAAGAAGGCAGACAGAAUCAAGAGUGUACAAGCCAUACUGUUCCGGCUCACUUUAUUUGUUAUUUUGCUAUUUGUCUAGCCGGACAUUAUAUGUCAAUAAUUGAUUGAAGUGUUUAAUGAAUGUCGUGAAUAUUUGGGAGAAGCAAGGAUCAGUGAAAUUAAUAUUGCCAAGCAGCUUGUAACCAUCACCAGGCCACAGUAUCAGAGUAUCAGAAAGGUAUUUCCUUUCCCAAAGAAAACAUGCAGUCUGUAAUCUACCCCCAUGUCAGUGUAGAGAGGCCUGUUCAUGAAGACACAAAAUCAUUCGACGUUUCUCGAUUGAUCAAAGCACCACAGGCUGCAUCGUUCGUCACCUCUGCCUUUGAGCGCGUUAUCACUUACUCCAAUAAGCCACCCAAAUAUCCUUAAUAAGCAAUAGAAGUUCUUAUCGACUGUGUAUGAUUCAUUAAUAUCCAUGUUUUGUAUAAAUUUAUGUGAUAGGCCUACUGAUAUUGAUGUUGAUGUAACGUAAUGUUUUUUGCUCAUGUAUAAUUGAUAAUAAUACAUUAAAAAUAAAUAAAAUGUUGAAUUAUUA